AUUGAACGCUGGCGGCAUGCUUUACACAUACAAGUCGAACGGUAACAGGCCUUCGGGUGCUGACGAGUGGCGAACGGGUGAGUAAUGCAUCGGAACGUGCCCAGAGGUGGGGGAUAACGCAGCGAAAGCUGUGCUAAUACCGCAUGUGAUCUGAGGAUGAAAGCGGGGGACCAGGCAGCAAUGUUUGGCCUCGCGCCUUUGGAGCGGCCGAUGUCAGAUUAGGUAGUUGGUGGGGUAAAGGCCUACCAAGCCGACGAUCUGUAGCUGGUCUGAGAGGACGACCAGCCACACUGGGACUGAGACACGGCCCAGACUCCUACGGGGGGCAGCAGUGGGGAAUUUUGGACAAUGGGCGCAAGCCUGAUCCAGCAAUGCCGCGUGCGGGAAGAAGGCCUUCGGGUUGUAAACCGCUUUUGUACGGAACGAAAAGGCUCUGGCUAAUACCUGGGGCUGAUGACGGUACCGUAAGAAUAAGCACCGGCUAACUACGUG
rnacentral:rRNA from 1 species